GGUUAAGCGACUAAGCGUACACGGUGGAUGCCCUGGCAGUCAGAGGCGAUGAAGGACGUGCUAAUCUGCGAUAAGCGCCGGUAAGGUGAUAUGAACCGUUAUAACCGGCGAUUUCCGAAUGGGGAAACCCAGUGUGAUUCGUCACACUAUCAUUAACUGAAUCCAUAGGUUAAUGAGGCGAACCGGGGGAACUGAAACAUCUAAGUACCCCGAGGAAAAGAAAUCAACCGAGAUUCCCCCAGUAGCGGCGAGCGAACGGGGAGGAGCCCAGAGCCUGAAUCAGCAUGUGUGUUAGUGGAAGCGUCUGGAAAGGCGCGCGAUACAGGGUGACAGCCCCGUACACAAAAGCGCAUGUGCUGUGAGCUCGAUGAGUAGGGCGGGACACGUGGUAUCCUGUCUGAAUAUGGGGGGACCAUCCUCCAAGGCUAAAUACUCCUGACUGACCGAUAGUGAACCAGUACCGUGAGGGAAAGGCGAAAAGAACCCCGGCGAGGGGAGUGAAAAAGAACCUGAAACCGUGUACGUACAAGCAGUGGGAGCACAGGUUUACCUGUGUGACUGCGUACCUUUUGUAUAAUGGGUCAGCGACUUAUAUUCUGUAGCAAGGUUAACCGAAUAGGGGAGCCGGAGGGAAACCGAGUCUUAAUUGGGCGUUAAGUUGCAGGGUAUAGACCCGAAACCCGGUGAUCUAGCCAUGGGCAGGUUGAAGGUUGGGUAACACUAACUGGAGGACCGAACCGACUAAUGUUGAAAAAUUAGCGGAUGACCUGUGGCUGGGGGUGAAAGGCCAAUCAAACCGGGAGAUAGCUGGUUCUCCCCGAAAGCUAUUUAGGUAGCGCCUCGUGAACUCAUCUCCGGGGGUAGAGCACUGUUUCGGCUAGGGGGCCAUCCCGGCUUACCAACCCGAUGCAAACUGCGAAUACCGGAGAAUGUUAUCACGGGAGACACACGGCGGGUGCUAACGUCCGUCGUGAAGAGGGAAACAACCCAGACCGCCAGCUAAGGUCCCAAAGUCAUGGUUAAGUGGGAAACGAUGUGGGAAGGCCCAGACAGCCAGGAUGUUGGCUUAGAAGCAGCCAUCAUUUAAAGAAAGCGUAAUAGCUCACUGGUCGAGUCGGCCUGCGCGGAAGAUGUAACGGGGCUAAACCAUGCACCGAAGCUGCGGCAGCGACACUGUGUGUUGUUGGGUAGGGGAGCGUUCUGUAAGCCUGUGAAGGUGGCCUGUGAGGGUUGCUGGAGGUAUCAGAAGUGCGAAUGCUGACAUAAGUAACGAUAAAGCGGGUGAAAAGCCCGCUCGCCGGAAGACCAAGGGUUCCUGUCCAACGUUAAUCGGGGCAGGGUGAGUCGACCCCUAAGGCGAGGCCGAAAGGCGUAGUCGAUGGGAAACGGGUUAAUAUUCCCGUACUUGGUGUUACUGCGAAGGGGGGACGGAGAAGGCUAUGUUGGCCGGGCGACGGUUGUCCCGGUUUAAGCGUGUAGGUGUGUGUUCCAGGUAAAUCCGGUUCACUUUAACACUGAGGCGUGACGACGAGGCACUACGGUGCUGAAGCAACAAAUGCCCUGCUUCCAGGAAAAGCCUCUAAGCAUCAGGUAACAUCAAAUCGUACCCCAAACCGACACAGGUGGUCAGGUAGAGAAUACCAAGGCGCUUGAGAGAACUCGGGUGAAGGAACUAGGCAAAAUGGUGCCGUAACUUCGGGAGAAGGCACGCUGACACGUAGGUGAAGUGAUUUACUCAUGGAGCUGAAGUCAGUCGAAGAUACCAGCUGGCUGCAACUGUUUAUUAAAAACACAGCACUGUGCAAACACGAAAGUGGACGUAUACGGUGUGACGCCUGCCCGGUGCCGGAAGGUUAAUUGAUGGGGUCAGCGCAAGCGAAGCUCCUGAUCGAAGCCCCGGUAAACGGCGGCCGUAACUAUAACGGUCCUAAGGUAGCGAAAUUCCUUGUCGGGUAAGUUCCGACCUGCACGAAUGGCGUAAUGAUGGCCAGGCUGUCUCCACCCGAGACUCAGUGAAAUUGAACUCGCUGUGAAGAUGCAGUGUACCCGCGGCAAGACGGAAAGACCCCGUGAACCUUUACUAUAGCUUGACACUGAACAUUGAGCCUUGAUGUGUAGGAUAGGUGGGAGGCUUUGAAGCGUGGACGCCAGUCUGCGUGGAGCCGACCUUGAAAUACCACCCUUUAAUGUUUGAUGUUCUAACGUGGACCCGUUACCCGGGUUGCGGACAGUGUCUGGUGGGUAGUUUGACUGGGGCGGUCUCCUCCUAAAGAGUAACGGAGGAGCACGAAGGUUGGCUAAUCCUGGUCGGACAUCAGGAGGUUAGUGCAAUGGCAUAAGCCAGCUUGACUGCGAGCGUGACGGCGCGAGCAGGUGCGAAAGCAGGUCAUAGUGAUCCGGUGGUUCUGAAUGGAAGGGCCAUCGCUCAACGGAUAAAAGGUACUCCGGGGAUAACAGGCUGAUACCGCCCAAGAGUUCAUAUCGACGGCGGUGUUUGGCACCUCGAUGUCGGCUCAUCACAUCCUGGGGCUGAAGUAGGUCCCAAGGGUAUGGCUGUUCGCCAUUUAAAGUGGUACGCGAGCUGGGUUUAGAACGUCGUGAGACAGUUCGGUCCCUAUCUGCCGUGGGCGCUGGAGAACUGAGGGGGGCUGCUCCUAGUACGAGAGGACCGGAGUGGACGCAUCACUGGUGUUCGGGUUGUCAUGCCAAUGGCACUGCCCGGUAGCUAAAUGCGGAAGAGAUAAGUGCUGAAAGCAUCUAAGCACGAAACUUGCCCCGAGAUGAGUUCUCCCUGAGACUUAGAGUCUCCUGAAGGAACGUUGAAGACGACGACGUUGAUAGGCCGGGUGUGUAAGCGCAGCGAUGCGUUGAGCUAACCGGUACUAAUGAACCGUGAGGCUUAACCUU
rnacentral:rRNA from 1 species